AUGUCAGGCGAGGACCAGCUAACUAUCGGCAAGGACAUGGUCGUGACCAAGUAUAAGAUGGGGGGCAACAUCGCCAACCGGGUACUUCUGUCUUUGGUGGAAGCAUCCUGCUCAGGUGUGUCGGUGCUGAGCCUGUGUGAGAAAGGUGAUGCCAUGAUUAUGGAAGAGACGGGGAAAAUUUUCAAGAAAGAAAAAGAAAUGAAGAAAGGUAUUGCCUUUCCCACCAGUAUUUCAGUAAAUAACUGUGUGUGUCACUUCUCCCAUUUGAAAAGCGACAAGGACUAUAUUCUCAAGGAAGGUGACUUGGUAAAAAUUGACCUUGGGGUCCAUGUGGAUGGCUUCAUCGCUAAUGAGGCUCACACUUUUGUGGCUGGUGUAGCUCAGGGGACCCAGGUGACAGGGAGGAAAGCAGGUGUCAUUAAGGCAGCUCACCUUUGUGCAGAAGCUUCCCUACGCCUGGUCAAACCUGGAAACCAGAACAAACAAGUGACCGAAGCCUGGCACAAAGUUGCCCAUGCAUUUAAUUGCCCGCCAAUCGAAGGUAUGCUGUCACACCAAUUGAAGCAGCAUGUCAUCGAUGGAGAGAAAACCAUUAUCCAGAAUACCACAGACCAGCAGAAGCAGGACCAUGAGAAAGCUGAAUUGGAAGUACAUGAAGUAUAUGCUGUGGAUGUUCUCGUCAGCUCAGGAGAGGGCAAGGCCAAGGAUGCAAGACAGCCACCAUUUAUAAAUGAGAUCCUUCUAAACAAAAUGAAAACUUCACGCGCCUUCUUCAGUGAGGUUGGAAGGCGUUUUGAUGCCAUGCCGUUUACUUUAGAGCAUUUGAAGAUGAGAAGAAGGCCCGGAUGGGGAUGGUGGAAUGCGCCAAACAUGAACUGCUGCAGCCAUUUGAUGUUCUCCAUGAGAAGGAGGGUGAAUGCGUUGCCCAGUUUAAAUUUACAGUUCUGCUGAUGCCCAGUGGCCCCAUGCGGGUAACCGGUGGUCCCUUUGAGCCUGACCUUUACAAAUCUGACAAGGAGGUCCAGGAUGCAGAGCUAAAGGCCCUCCUCCAGAGUUCAGCAAGUCGGAAAACCCAGAAAAAGAAAAAAAAAUUAAAGGCCUCCAAGACUGCAGAGAAUGCCACCAGUGGGGAAACAUUAGAACAGAAUGAAGCUGGGGACUGAG